GACGAACGCUGGCGGCGUGCCUAAUACAUGCAAGUCGAACGCAUUUUCUUUCACCGUAGCUUGCUACACCGAAAGAAAAUGAGUGGCGAACGGGUGAGUAACACGUGGGUAACCUGCCCAUCAGCGGGGGAUAACACUUGGAAACAGGUGCUAAUACCGCAUAAUUCCAUUUACCGCAUGGUAGAUGGAUGAAAGGCGCUUUUGCGUCACUGAUGGAUGGACCCGCGGUGCAUUAGCUAGUUGGUGGGGUAACGGCCUACCAAGGCUGCGAUGCAUAGCCGACCUGAGAGGGUGAUCGGCCACACUGGGAAUGAGACACGGCCCAGACGCCUACGGGAGGCAGCAGUAGGGAAUCUUCGGCAAUGGACGCAAGGCUGACCGAGCAACGCCGCGUGAGUGAAGAAGGGUUUCGGAUCGUAAAACUCUGUUGUUAGAGAAGAACAAGGAUGAGAGUGGAAAGUUCAUCCCUUGACGGUAGCUAACCAGAAAGCCACGGCUAACUACGUG
rnacentral:rRNA from 1 species